GGAAAAAUAAAAUCAUUAUUUAAUCAACAGUGAGCUAAUCUGGUAUGGCACAGGAAAGUUUUUGAAUAUUAACAAUAGGUUAAUUCUGUAAUUUAAAAUAGAUGACAAUGCUAUCGCAACCACCACCAUGUUUUUAACAUCUGUAUGCAUAAUUUUUCAAGGAAGAAAGAACCUUGAAGCAUCCCGUGGCCUUAAUCUCUUAGAAAUCCUAAGGGAUGCUUGAGCCAAUUAAUAAAGAGCCCCUUCACUUGAAGUAUUUGAAAGCCAACAUUUGUGGUGAACAGGCAACAUCAGCUAAUCACAUAUUAAGGAUGAUUCCUUUGUUCACUGUGUGAAAGUGGUUUGUAGCAGACAUUCUUAUAUUCCCAUACUCAAUAUUUAUUUUCUCAAAGCCAAACUAAUUCCAAGAGCUAAUGUGACCUUUCAAUAGUAUUUUUUGCCCAUCUCUUAGAAAACAAUUUAAGGGGUUUCACUAUAUUAGGGGGAUUUUCCAUUUUUUCCUACUCUUCAAAAGAUUUGUCUUUCAUCUUCUUUUUCUUUCUCUCCAGCUACAAAAUGUGCUCAUUACGGGCCUAUCUGCCAGCAACAAAAGGGAGGAGACUCCUAUUUCAGCAGAAUUCAGAGGUAUAUGACAUGAAGAAGUCUGACCCUGAUGUCAACAUAUCCAAGUCUCCUCCUACAGCCACCACUUAACUACCACUGUGACUGAUCACUUAAGUCUCCCAAGGCCUUCAUAUAUUUAGCUAAAAAAUGGGGAUAAUAAUAGUAAUUAUUUCACAGACCUUUUGUGAAGUUUGAAUAAGAUCAUGAAUGUAAAGCAAAGUGUCCGACACAUUCAAGUUUGUCAUAAACAUUGCCAUUAUUGGUACUGUUACUUUUAUUUUUAUUAAGCGCCAUACCUUAUACCCUUAUAUCAGAAAACAAGACACUGUGCCCUUCUCAUUGGGGUUCCAAUAUCAGAUCUUUUUCAUCUUAACAUCCUUCUAUACCAAUGGUUCUCAAACUUUAGCCUGCAUCAGAGUCACCUGGAUGGCGUGUUGAAAACACAGAUUGCUGGGCUCCAUUCCCAGCCCUUCUGAUUCAACUGCCUGGUUGAGCCCAAGACUUAGUAUUUCUAACAAGCUUCCAGAUGGUAAUGAUGCUGCUAGUCGGGAAUCACACUUUAAGCACCAAUGUUCUAUAUCAGGAUUGGCAAACUUUUUCUACAAAGCACCAG
rnacentral:lncRNA from 1 species